UGGGGAAUAUUGCACAAUGGGCGCAAGCCUGAUGCAGCCAUGCCGCGUGUAUGAAGAAGGCCUUCGGGUUGUAAAGUACUUUCAGCGAGGAGGAAGGCGUUAAGGUUAAUAACCUUAGCGAUUGACGUUACUCGCAGAAGAAGCACCGGCUAACUCCGUGCCAGCAGCCGCGGUAAUACGGAGGGUGCAAGCGUUAAUCGGAAUUACUGGGCGUAAAGCGCACGCAGGCGGUCUGUCAAGUCGGAUGUGAAAUCCCCGGGCUCAACCUGGGAACUGCAUUCGA
rnacentral:rRNA from 1 species